GUCUUGUUGGUGCAGUUGGCAGCACAUCAGUCUCAUAAUCUGAAGGUCGUGAGUUCAAACCUCAUAUGAGGCA